UUUUGUAGCUGUUAUUGUGAAAACUAAAGUAACUAUGUUAAAGAUGUAAACAGCAAAAAUUGUCAGCAUGACAAGAAAUAUCUGCUUUCAUAUUUUUGACAACCUGUUUUUGAUUCAUUGACCCUGAAAUGUAAAUUUUAUUUGUUUUUUUUUGCAUUUUGUUUGGAAAAAGAAUAAUAUGAUUUAAAUGAGACACUUCUCUACCAGAGACCAAAAGUUUACAAUUAUAAGCCACUGUAUGGUCUCCAAUAAUGGGGAAAAUCUGUACCACAAGGCACAUAGUAAGCUAGGAACUUAACAGACUUAACAAUUUAAUCUAACUAUAGAUGGUAGAAAUCUAGACAAGGAAGUAAAUUGAUACCUAAUGUUUUCCAAGUGAAAGGGCAGAACC
rnacentral:lncRNA from 1 species